GACGAACGCUGGCGGCGUGCUUAACACAUGCAAGUCGAACGAUGAACCUCACUUGUGGGGGGAUUAGUGGCGAACGGGUGGGUAACACGUGAGUAACCUGCCUUUGAUUCUGGGAUAAGCCUGGGAAACCGGGUCUAAUACUGGAUACGACCUUCUUGCUCAUGCCUUGUUGGUGGAAGGCUUUUGUGGUUUUGGUUGGGCUUGCGGCCUAUCAGCUUGUUGGUGGGGUUAUGGACGACCAAGGCGACGACGGGUAGCCGGCGUGAGAGGGUGACAGGCCGCGAUGGGACUGAUUCAGACUCAGAACUCGUACAGAAGGCAGCAGUAGGGAACAGUGGGCAAUAUGCGCAAGCCGGAUGCAGCGUCGCGGCGUGAGGGAUGGAGGGGUUCGAGGUGUUUACCUCUGUCAAUAGGGAAGAAGCCGGCUGUUGGGUGGGUGACGGUACCUGGAGAAGAAGCGCCGGCUAACUACGUG
rnacentral:rRNA from 1 species